UGCUACCGACCAAAUAUGCUUGAAUAAUAAUUCACCAGGUCAUGUUACCUAGAGUUUUCACAGGUAUAGCAUCCAUCAACUGUAAAUACCAAACAUCAUUUAAUUAUAUAGGGUGUGGCUGAGAAAUCACUUGGAUACAUGUAAAAGGCAGCCAAUCGUGACAGUUUUGACUCACAUAUGCUUACCACACGCUAAAACAGUUAUAAUUUUAUACGGGACUGCUAAUUUUCAUCCGGAUGAAAAUUAUUGGCGUUCAUCCGAUUUGUGAGCCGUCCGAUCUGUGUCCUGAGAUUUGUCUGAUCUCUCGCUACCACCCGGGCUGGCUUACCGGGCGCGCUCAAUUUCCGGGGAAGACCCGUUCUCGCUCGCGACCGGUGUCUGUUUUUUUUUGAAUUUUUUUCAUUUCGCCCCUGUAGGCUGUAGCUGCCAGGUUCCCUUCCCCUUCCUCUCGUUCCCUUGUCAUUCCCAACAUGCAACCAGAACAGAGUCCAGAGAGAGAUUCAUGGCGACCCGGUGGUUCCCUAUCCGCUCGAUUCGCUAGGGUGUGGUCAGGCGUCCGGCGUUCACCCUCCGGCUGCUUCGCUCCCGUCCGGCCGCCAACCCCCUCCUGCUCCCCCGCUGUCCGCACCGUUGGUCUGCAGCAUCUCUCGACCGCCGCACCCACCCCCGGCCUUUAUUUCUGCCCCGGCGACUUCGCUGGUCUUCGUGAUUCGCUUUUUUCCAGUGUAUUUACAAGGAAGGUCAGAGUAAUUUACAACCAAGUUGUAAUGUGACAAAAUAUCACAGUAACCUCUCAAGAUAUGUUGAUUCCUGUAUUUUUUGAGUUUACUGGGGUCUAAUAGCAAGAGAAUUAAGUCGGUCAUUUUGGCUUCAUCUUACAUGAAGGAGUGCAUCUUCAUCUUGCUGAUUCCGGGAAGUAGGAGAGGGAACUGUUCACAGGGAGGUAGAGAAGAUUGCCAGGAGAGGAUCUCUUACAUGUGCAUCCAUGAUUUUCUCAAGGUUUGCCCUCUGGAUCUUGGAGGAAUUCCCCCUGUGAUUUCUUCUUUGAUGGGGUGGACAAGCACAUCGACACAUUCAGGGGACAGGAACAAAACGGAGGACAUGUGACACUUGUUAAACUCUGUGUUGCCAAAAAAUAUGACUGAAAACUAAUUGGAUUUCAGAAGAGGAUUUUUGUAGUGUCACUUUAAUGCAUCUUUCACUAUAAUUCUCAGUGGGCAUGAUAGAAAUUAUUGUGUUUUUUUAGUGAAUUUUACGCUGUA